rnacentral:rRNA from 1 species
AAACCAGGCGAUCUAUCCAUGAGCAGGUUGAAGGUUGGGUAACACUAACUGGAGGACCGAACCCACUGUCGUUGAAAAGCCAGGGGAUGACUUGUGGAUAGGGGUGAAAGGCUAAUCAAGCCUGGUGAUAGCUGGUUCUCCCCGAAAGCUAUUUAGGUAGCGCCUCGGACGAAUACCAUAGGGGGUAGAGCACUGUUUCGGCUAGGGGGUCAUCCCGACUUACCAAACCGAUGCAAACUCCGAAUACCUAUGAGUACUAUCCGGGAGACAGACUGCGGGUGCUAACGUCCGUAGUCAAGAGGAAAACAAUCCAGACCGCCAGCUAAGGCCCCAAAAUCAUAGUUAAGUGGGAAACGAUGUGGGAAGGCAUAGACAGCUAGGAGGUUGGCUUAGAAGCAGCCACCCUUUAAAGAAAGCGUAAUAGCUCACUAGUCGAGUCGGCCUGCGCGGAAGAUGUAACGGGGCUAAAACUAUGUGCCGAAGCUGCGGAUGUAUACUUUGUAUACGUGGUAGGGGAGCGUUCUGUAAGCCGAUGAAGGUGUGUUGAGAAGCAUGCUGGAGGUAUCAGAAGUGCGAAUGCUGACGUGAGUAACGACAAAACGGGUGAAAAACCCGUUCGCCGAAAGACCAAGGGUUCCAGUCCAACGUUAAUCGGGGCUGGGUGAGUCGACCCCUAAGGCGAGGCCGAAAGGCGUAGUCGAUGGGAAAAUGGUUAAUAUUCCAUUACUUCUGUGUAAUGCGAUGAGAGGACGGAGAAGGCUAAAUCAGCCUGGCGUUGGUUGUCCAGGUGAAAGGAUGUAGGCAUGUAUCUUAGGCAAAUCCGGGGUACUCUAUGCUGAGAUCUGAUAGCAAGCUGUACUUGUACAGCGAAGUGGUUGAUGCCAUGCUUCCAGGAAAAGUCUCUAAGCUUCAGUUACACAGGAAUCGUACCCGAAACCGACACAGGUGGUCAGGUCGAGUAGACCAAGGCGCUUGAGAGAACUCUGCUGAAGGAACUAGGCAAAAUGGUACCGUAACUUCGGGAGAAGGUACGCUGUUGUUGGUGAUGGAACUCGCUUCCUGAGCUGACGACAGCCGCAGAAACCAGGCCGCUGCAACUGUUUAUUAAAAACAUAGCACUCUGCAAACACGAAAGUGGACGUAUAGGGUGUGAUGCCUGCCCGGUGCUGGAAGGUUAAUUGAUGGGGUUAGCGUAAGCGAAGCUCUUGAUCGAAGCCCCAGUAAACGGCGGCCGUAACUAUAACGGUCCUAAGGUAGCGAAAUUCCUUGUCGGGUAAGUUCCGACCUGCACGAAUGGCAUAAUGAUGGCGGCGCUGUCUCCAGCAGAGGCUCAGUGAAAUCGAAAUCGCUGUGAAGAUGCAGUGUACCCGCGGCUAGACGGAAAGACCCCGUGAACCUUUACUGCAGCUUGACACUGAACUUUGACCUUACUUGUGUAGGAUAGGUGGGAGGCUUUGAAGCUGGAACGCUAGUUCCAGUGGAGCCGUCCUUGAAAUACCACCCUGGUAAUGUUGAGGUUCUAACUCUGUCCCGUGAUCCGGGACGAGGACCGUGUCUGGUGGGUAGUUUGACUGGGGCGGUCUCCUCCUAAAGAGUAACGGAGGAGUACGAAGGUGCGCUCAGCGUGGUCGGAAAUCACGCGUAGAGUAUAAAGGCAAAAGCGCGCUUAACUGCGAGACCCACAAGUCGAGCAGGUACGAAAGUAGGUCUUAGUGAUCCGGUGGUUCUGUAUGGAAGGGCCAUCGCUCAACGGAUAAAAGGUACUCUGGGGAUAACAGGCUGAUACCGCCCAAGAGUUCAUAUCGACGGCGGUGUUUGGCACCUCGAUGUCGGCUCAUCUCAUCCUGGGGCUGAAGCAGGUCCCAAGGGUAUGGCUGUUCGCCAUUUAAAGAGGUACGCGAGCUGGGUUUAGAACGUCGUGAGACAGUUCGGUCCCUAUCUACCGUGGGCGCUGGAAAUUUGAGAGGAUCUGCUCCUAGUACGAGAGGACCAGAGUGGACGAACCUCUGGUGUACCGGUUGUGACGCCAGUCGCAUCGCCGGGUAGCUAUGUUCGGAAGGGAUAACCGCUGAAAGCAUCUAAGCGGGAAGCCUACCUCAAGAUAAGAUUUCCCUAGGACUUUAUGUCCUCUAAAGAGCCGUUCGAGACUAGGACGUUGAUAGGUUGGAUGUGGAAGCAUAGUGAUAUGUGAAGCUGACCAAUACUAAUUGCUCGUGAGGCUUGACUAU